GACGGAAGGUGCAAGCGUUGCUCGGAAUCACUGGGCGUAAAGGGUGCGUAGGCGGCUUGGUAAGUUGGGUGUGAAAGCCCCGGGCUCAGCCCGGGAAGGGCACUCGAAACUGCCGAGCUGGAGUGCCGGAGGGGAGAGUGGAAUUCCUGGUGUAGCGGUGAAAUGCGUAGAUAUCAGGAGGAACACCAAUUGCGAAGGCAGCUCGCUGGGACGUAACUGACGCUGAGACGCGAAAGCGUGGGGAGCAAACAGG
rnacentral:rRNA from 1 species